ensembl:lncRNA
UACCAUACCCGUUAUGUGUCUGUGAGCGAGGGAGGGAGAGAAAGGAAGUCCGAGCUGUCACGGAGCAAAAACGGGAGCUGGAAGCAUGUAAAUAUAAUAAUAACCACUGCAGCCAAGAAGAGUGCCUGACGAGCCCAUUUACUUCACUUUCAACUGAGCCAUCCUAUCGCCUUACUGCUCUAGCCCUCGGCAUCAGCUAGGACCGCGUGCACCUGGACCAAUUAUGGUUACUGGAAGAUGGAGCCUCAUCCAGGUCUGUGAGUAGCCAGUUUCCUCUUCUUGUGCAGCAACUAGUGUUGGGGCAGCGGGAGUUUCGUACCUGCUCUAGAGUUGUGGCAGACAGUGGCUGUGUCCGAAUUCAGGGGAAGGAUGCUCAUAAGGACACUAACUACCUACGUCACAAGGUAGUGGCCUUAGACGGACGGGUAGUCAGGAAGUGAGCGGCUUGGACAGCCCCCUUUUUUUCUCCAUAGACACUUUAUUGAACAAACAAUGAGUAUCCAACAUAACAGAUGGGCUGUGGACAGCCUCCUAGCCUUCAACUCCGCCCUUACUUGCGUGUUUUUCCCGAUCGCUAGCACCACAGCACGAAAACUUUAAAAUGGACCCAGAAAUGUCGCUCCCUUGUUUGGACAAUUUUAUUUCUCGAGGAGCUAGAAAAACCUUAUCGUCGCCGCCCGCACGUUUUGUACCUUAGGCUCAUCAGAGACAAUCAUAUCCAGUGGUGUGGCAGCCGUUGAUUGAGCCAGCCCUGCAAACCCUGUGGAUGGACGAUGCAGUGGACAGUGGGAGGAAGCAUCCUGAAGCUCUCUUUGCAGACCACCUGUGUGAUUCUCCACUCGCCCACCAGAAAAGACAAACCGCAGGUCUCAGUUGCAGCACCCCAUCAAUUUCUGAUCGUGCUCGGGCAGCUUCAGCAACACUGCCAGAGACUUCCUGUAAUCUAUUACAGUUGUUCAAGAAACGGUCCACGAACAGGUCACUCA